rnacentral:tRNA from 1 species
AAAAGUGUGGCAUAGUGGUUUGAGUGUUGGACUGCAACUCUGGAGACCAGGGUUCAAUUCCCCACUUGGC